GGUGGGCAGUGACCUGGCAGGCGGAGAUUGGCUGGGAGCACAAAAGGCUCGAAAUGACAAGUUUCAUCGGGGACUCAUGGGACAGAAGGUUAACUUGGAGUGAAAGAACUUUAGUCAGACUGUCACAUCGUUCAACAAGUCUUCAAGUCUAACCAUUGUUCUCGUACCUGAUGACAUUGUCUGACGACAUUCUCUGAACACUCUGUAAACCCACGGGCUAGCUGCGACUGAAAAGACCUGCACAACCACUUCAGCAGGCUGUCUUCUCCUCGUCUAAUUUACAUAAUUUGAUCUUGUACUUAAAAACAACAGACAACACAUGAAGUCCAUAGCUCAGUUUCAACAGACACUACAAAUCUUUCCAAGAAGAUGUCAACAAAAGCUCCCAACAGACAUGAAACUCUUCAUUGUCUACAGUGUCAAGGGAUGAACAUCCCAGGUUACAGGAGGAGUGACAUGACAUAUGAGAGCGGGACGUAGAUGUUUCUGUCGGGGACAAUCAAAGGAUGGACACUUUUUUACCAACCGAGACACCUGAUUCACCGAUACUCCCAC